rnacentral:rRNA from 1 species
AUUGAACGCUGGCGGCAGGCCUAACACAUGCAAGUCGAGCGGAAACGAGUUAUCUGAACCUUCGGGGAACGAUAACGGCGUCGAGCGGCGGACGGGUGAGUAAUGCCUAGGAAAUUGCCCUGAUGUGGGGGAUAACCAUUGGAAACGAUGGCUAAUACCGCAUAAUGCCUACGGGCCAAAGAGGGGGACCUUCGGGCCUCUCGCGUCAGGAUAUGCCUAGGUGGGAUUAGCUAGUUGGUGAGGUAAUGGCUCACCAAGGCGACGAUCCCUAGCUGGUCUGAGAGGAUGAUCAGCCACACUGGAACUGAGACACGGUCCAGACUCCUACGGGAGGCAGCAGUGGGGAAUAUUGCACAAUGGGCGCAAGCCUGAUGCAGCCAUGCCGCGUGUGUGAAGAAGGCCUUCGGGUCGUAAAGCUCUGUCCUAAAGGAAGAAUUUGACGAC